GUGCUCGCUUGGGCAGCACAUAUACUGAAAUUGGAACAAUUCAGAGAAGAUUAGGUGGCCCUGUGCAAGGAUGACAUGUAAAUUUGUGAAGCGUUCCAUGUUUUU
ensembl:snRNA U6 U6 spliceosomal RNA